ACGGGGUUAUAUUCUUCGGAUUGUAACCUAGUGGCGAACGGCUGANUAACACGUAAGUAACCUGCCCUGGAGUGGGAAAUAACCUGCCGAAAGGCGAGCUAAUGUCCCAUGUGAUAGCGAAGUUAAUGCUUUGUUAUUAAAGCCUUCGGGUGCUCCAAGAGGGGCUUGCGUCUGAUUAGCUAGUUGGUGGGGUAAUGGCCUACCAAGGCUAUGAUCGGUAGCUGGUCUGAGAGGAUGGUCAGCCAGAUGGGGACUGGGAUACGGCCCCAACUCCUACGGGAGGCAGCAGCAAGGAAUCUUGGGCAAUGAGCGAAAGCUUGACCCAGCGACACCGCGUGAGGGAUGAAGGCCUUCGGGUUGUAAACCUCUUUUCUUGGGGAAGAAUUAUGACGGUACCCAAGGAAUAAGCCUCGGCCAACUACGUGCCAGCGGCCGCGGUAAUACGUAGGAGGCGAACGUUAUUCGGAUUUACUGGGCGUAAAGAGAGCGUAGGCGGUUCCUUAAGUCAGAUGUAAAAUCUUCUAACUCAAUUAGAAGGCGCCAUUUGAUACUGAGGGACUUGAGAACAGCAGAGGGAAAUGGAAUCCCCAGUGUAGCGGUGAAAUGCGUAGAUAUUGGGGAGAACACCAGUGGCGAAGGCGAUUUUCCAGGUUGUUUCUGACGCUGAGGCUCGAAAGCGUGGGGAGCGAAGCGGAUUAGAUACCCGCGUAGUCCACGCCCUAA
rnacentral:rRNA from 1 species